rnacentral:lncRNA from 1 species
CAACAAAGGUCUUGUGUAGUGAGAUCCAUCGAUGCAACCAUGGUGGCGGUUGGCCAAGCCGCAACGACAACGACCAUUUGCAAACUACAUGUCGCAUUUUAUUCAGCGGGGAUCCAUGGCGUUGAGUAGAGAUGUAUGGUGACUAUUCGACGGAGAUAAGAAGAAAAAUGGUUGCAUGGCAAGGUGGUCGACAACGGGUGCUUGAAAAGAAGGCAAAACUUUCGUGAUGCUAAAAAAGUGAUGUUAGAGGGGCUUGCGUAUUUCCCCCUCUUUUCACUAUAUUGAGAAGCUAUGUGCAUAAUUUUAAUGGGUCCUCUUAACAUGUUAGAGAAAUAAGGGUUUUAGGAAUAUGCUAGAAUGACAUUUUUAUUAACUUUAGUCUCCUUCCACUCACUAUUAUAAAAUAUUUUGGAUAUUUGAAUAUGAACUACAUACGAACUGAAAUGAAUGAACAUACAAGCUAAAACGUGUCUACAUACAUCUGAUCCUGAAAAAAGAUAAAAACAUCUUAUAAUAGUGACAGAUAGCUCUACUAGUAUUUCUCUGAUUCUCUCAAUCUCCCUUUUCUCUUGACAAUAAGGGGCACCUAGAUCUCUAUUUUGAUGGCGGGAGGUGGAGGAAAGCCUAGUUUGUGUGUGUCGAAUGCCUAGCUAUAUUAGUGAUGUUGCUUGAGGUGCAACACAAUCUUCUCGGUGCCUCUCACUAGGGUUAGGUUUUGGUGUUAUGACGGUGAUAUUCAGAUGUCGGUAGAUGUGUUAUAUCAGAUAAUAGAGCCAAGUUUUUUUUUCCAACUCGACUACGUGUUGGUUUGUUCGUCGACCUAUUGGUCUCGUUGCGAGCAACCUAGUCUUGCAUAUACGUUGUUUUCAUGCGCGACCGAAUGCACAUCAGAUUAUCGGCUUUUGUCAAUGGCUGUCAACACAAAUCGGGGUGUUGCAUCUCUCGAAUCGGGUUUUUUUUCCAUACCCACCGUCCACGGUGGGUAUAUACCGUGGGACCAACAAUGCGGAGUAAAAUAUCUUUGGAUAAUCCAUGAAUCUUUGGAGGUCCCGUUUGCAAAGAGAACACCACCAAGGAGUCUAAACGGAAAAUACCUCCGUGAACAACUUCCUAUAAAGCAACACGAAGUGGAGCCGAAGCAAAGAUAACCCACCCGAAGAAGCAACCAAGAAAAUCCCCCCAAUGGAUCAUCGCCUCGUGGCCCCUCUCCUCCUCCUCGUCGGCCUCCUCCUCUCCCCGGCGCCGGCGACGGCGGCCGCGGGGGACGAGGAGCCCCUGAUCCGGCAGGUCGUGGGCGGCGCCGACCCCCUCGACAACGACCUGGAGCUCGACUCGCAGUUCGUCGGCUUCGUGCAGCGGUUCGGGAAGACGUACCGGGACGCGGAGGAGCACGCGCACCGGCUCUCCGUGUUCAAGGCCAACCUCCGCCGCGCGCGCCGGCACCAGCUGCUCGACCCGUCCGCCGAGCACGGGGUCACCAAGUUCUCCGACCUCACCCCGGCCGAGUUCCGCCGGACCUACCUGGGGCUCAAGACGACCCGGCGAUCCUUCCUGCGGGAGAUGGCCGGGUCGGCGCACGACGCGCCCGUCCU